rnacentral:rRNA from 1 species
GAUGAACGCUGGCGGCGUGCCUAAUACAUGCAAGUCGAGCGAACAGAUGAGGAGCUUGCUCCUCUGACGUUAGCGGCGGACGGGUGAGUAACACGUGGAUAACCUACCUAUAAGACUGGGAUAACUUCGGGAAACCGGAGCUAAUACCGGAUAAUAUAUUGAACCGCAUGGUUCAAUAGUGAAAGACGGUUUUGCUGUCACUUAUAGAUGGAUCCGCGCCGCAUUAGCUAGUUGGUAAGGUAACGGCUUACCAAGGCAACGAUGCGUAGCCGACCUGAGAGGGUGAUCGGCCACACUGGAACUGAGACACGGUCCAGGCUCCUACGGGAGGCAGCAGUAGGGAAUCUUCCGCAAUGGGGGAAAGCCUGGCGGAGCAACGCCGCGUGAGUUAUGAAGGUCUUCGGAUCGUAAAACUCUGUUAUUAGGGAAGAACAAAUGUGUAAGUAACUAUGCACGUCUUGACGGUACCUAAUCAGAAAGCCACGGCUAACUACGUG